AUGAUCGCCAGAAAACAGUGGGAGCUUUUUCUGGAAGAAACGGGGAUGGAGGGGAAAGUGACAAGGCAACAGGCUUCUAAGAAGUGGGAGAACCUUAAAAAGAAGUACAAGGAUUUGAGGACUCCCAAAACUGGGUCGGGGACUGAAAGUGGGGAGGUGACUGUGGCGACGUGGCAGUAUUAUGAUUUGAUGCACAAGGUUCUUGGUGCCCGGCCAGCAAUUGACCCACCAGUCCUUGUGUCAUCGAUUCAAGACCCCAUGGUUAUCCUCAUGGAGAUGGUUGAGCCCUACACCCAAGCACCCACGACAGCAGCCAGCACCCCAGUACACCCUACCACAUCAAUCAUACGAAGGAGGUCCAAAACAGUGGCAGAACUCCUGGCUGAGGAGGCCCUUCAGGAGCAGAGGCGCCAUGAAGAGAGUGAGGCCAAGACGGAUCGCUUUCUGGAUCUCUUUGAGAGGAUGGUCAACAAAUUAUAAUUAUUGAUUUUUGUUGUUCCUAUGUUUUUUAUUCUUGCUAUUUAUUAAUUUAUGCUAUUUAUUAUUCCUAUUUAUUAUUGUUAUAUAUAUUUCUAUUUAUUAAUUUAUGCUAUUUAUUAUUCCUAUUUAUUAUUGUUAUAUAUAUUUAUAUUUAUUGCUAUUUAUUAAUUUGUUAUUUAUUAUUGCUAUUUAUUAUUGUUAUAUAUAUUUCUA
rnacentral:lncRNA from 1 species